rnacentral:tRNA from 13 species
GCGAAAGUAACUCAGGGGUAGAGUGUCACCUUGCCAAGGUGGAAGUCGCGGGUUCAAAUCCCGUCUUUCGCUUUU